UGUCGUGGUCCAUGCAACCGCUGUGGACCAUCAUGAUCCAAGGGGCAAAAAAUCAUGGUGCAUAGCUAGUUUUGCAUGAUCCAAUGGCCAGAAAGGCUCAUGGUCACGAUCGGAUGGUGGGCAAGGGUGCGUGGAUGUGAUCCGAUAUGAGUGGGAGUAGGAAAGCACGAUCGAAUGGCCAAAAGUGUGAACCAAUUUGAUCCAACAGUCAGAAAAGGUACCUGACUCCUGUUGAAAUUUUGGUUCUGAUCUGGAGUGGAUUUUAGGUCUAUAAAAGUGGCCUGUUGGCUUGAAACAGUGGUGUGGCAGC
rnacentral:lncRNA from 1 species